GGGGGUGUAGCUCAGUUGGUUAGAGCGCUUGCCUGUCACGCAAGAGGUCGCGGGUUCGAGUCCCGUCACUCCCGCCA
rnacentral:tRNA from 1 species